rnacentral:rRNA from 1 species
GAUGAACGCUAGCGGGAGGCCUAAUACAUGCAAGUCGAACGGUAAGGCCCUUCGGGUACACGAGUGGCGGACGGGUGCGUAACGCGUACGGAAUAUACCUUCAACAGGGGGAUACCUUUGGGAAACCGGAAAUAAUACCCCAUAGUAUUAUAGGGUCGCAUGAUUUUAUAAUUAAAGUUUAGGCGGUUGAAGAUUAUCGUGCGUCUGAUUAGCUAGUUGGUGAGGUAGAGGCUCACCAAGGCAACGAUCAGUAGCUGGUCUGAGAGGAUGAUCAGCCACACUGGAACUGAGACACGGUCCAGACUCCUACGGGAGGCAGCAGUAGGGAAUAUUGGACAAUGGGCGGAAGCCUGAUCCAGCCAUCCCGCGUGCAGGAAUAAGGCCCUAUGGGUUGUAAACUGCUUUUAAUAGGGAGAAAAGCUUUGAUUUAUCAGAGUUUGACGGUACCUAAAGAAUAAGCACCGGCUAACUCCGUG